CCUAAAGUAAUUUUACACCUUACUACGUCCCCUUUAGAGUAAUUCAAAUGAGGUACAGCCCAUCUGACAAAGGAUACAACCUUAACUAACGGGUAAAACAUUAACCUACACCUUUAAGUAGGCCUAAGAGCAGCCAUCUUUUAAAAAGCGUCAAAGCUUAACUUUGUCUUAAUUAAUUUAAAAAUCUAAACUGACCCCUUUAAUAAUACUGAGAACUUCUAUAACCCUAUAGAACUUUUUAUGCUAGAACUAGUAACAAGAGAAAACCCCUCUCCUAAAUGCAAGCACAAGCCAGCAAGAACCCAUCACUGGCAACUAACAGACCCACAAAUAGCAACCUUAUACAAGAAAAUCCUACUUUCUCCCCCUGUUAAACUUAUACUAGAGCAUUUCAAGAAAAAUUAAAAGAAAAAGAAGGAAUUCGGCAAACACUAACCCCGCCUGUUUACCAAAAACAUCGCCUCUUGACCCCCCCCCCAUAAGAGGUCCAGCCUGCCCAGUGACUCUGUUCAACGGCCGCGGUAUUCUAACCGUGCAAAGGUAGCGUAAUCACUUGUUUUCUAAAUAAAGACCAGUAUGAAGGGCACCACGAAGGUUAAGCUGUCUCCUUUUUCUAAUUAGUGAACCUAAUCUCCCCGUGAAGAAGCGAGGAUUAAAAUAUAAGACGAGAAGACCCUGUGGAGCUUAAAAUAUUAUAACAUCUGCCUCUACUUUCCCACCAUCCCGAUACUUCACCCAGACGGCACUCUGAUUAUAUAUUUUUGGUUGGGGUGACCGCGGAGAAAAACUCAUCCUCCACAAUGAAAGGAAACUCCCCUAAACAACAAGCCACAACUUUAUGUAUUAAAAAUUUAACAUCCAUUGACCCAACAAAUUGAUCAAUGAACCAAGUUACCCCAGGGAUAACAGCACAAUCCACUUUAAGAGUCCAUAUCGACAAGUGGGCUUAUGACCUCGAUGUUGGAUCGGGGUAUCCUAGUGGUGCAGCCGCUACUAAAGGUUCGUUUGUUCAACGAUUAAAACCCCACGUGAUCUGAGUUCAGACCGGAGCAAUCCAGGUCAGUUUCUAUCUAUAAUAGCGCUAAUUUCAGUACGAAAGGACCAAAAUAGCAUGGCCUAUGCCACAGCAAGCCAUAACUAAUUAUCUCUGAUUUACACUCAAAAAAUAAUUAACCUCCCCCUCAACUUAAGAAAAAAGUA
rnacentral:rRNA from 1 species